UGGAACUCUGACCAGGCUUGAACACACAGACAUCCACCUGCUUCUGCUGCCUGAUGCUGGGAUUUGUUUGGUUUCAUACCCAGAAAGGGACUGAGGAGGCGGAGAAACAGCCUAUCAGGGUUAAAGGCAUGCACCAUCAUGUCCCGCCUUUCUCUGCUUUGUAUUACAAUGUAUCUGUCCGGUUUACCUGUGGGGAACCGAUGGAUGGAUAACCCCUAUAGGAUCAUCGGGGACCAGGCUUUCACCCUAACACUUCCAGUAACAAUCUUACCAUGAAGAAAGCAGUAGCUCCUUUCCUGCCAAAUCCUGAUCGCAGGAGUGCUAUGACUCAGCACAGCCAAUUAAACUAACCAUCACCCUGGAGCUGCCUCCUAAACUCUGCUCUUCCCCUCAGUGGAACAUCAGCCAGCCAGGACUGUCCUCAUUUGCAUGCUGGGAAUUGCGUGGUGGGACCCGAGGAAGGCGGAGAGUUCCUGAAUAAGCAAUGUCCCAGCCUGUCUCAGGGCAGACAACUCUUUUGUGACUGCCUUGCCUGCUCCCCACUUUGCAGGAGACGCAAUAAACUUGUUUCUUUCUGCUCC